rnacentral:tRNA from 1 species
UCUCGAUUGGUCUAGUGGUCAGGAUACCUGCUUGUCAUGUAGUAAUAUCAUGUCGUCAAGCGUGAUAUUUGUUAUGUACAAUACGCAGGUGGCCGGGGUUCGAUUCCCCGAUCGAGAG